rnacentral:rRNA from 1 species
AGCGAACGCUGGCGGCAGGCCUAACACAUGCAAGUCGAACGGAUCCUUCGGGAUUAGUGGCGGACGGGUGAGUAACACGUGGGAACGUGCCCUUUGGUUCGGAACAACUCAGGGAACCUUGAGCUAAUACCGGAUGUGCCCUUCGGGGGAAAGAUUUAUCGCCAUUGGAGCGGCCCGCGUCUGAUUAGCUAGUUGGGGAGGUAAAGGCUCACCAAGGCGACGAUCAGUAGCUGGUCUGAGAGGAUGAUCAGCCACAUUGGGACUGAGACACGGCCCAAACUCCUACGGGAGGCAGCAGUGGGGAAUCUUGCGCAAUGGGCGAAAGCCUGACGCAGCCAUGCCGCGUGAAUGAUGAAGGUCUUAGGAUUGUAAAAUUCUUUCACCGGGGACGAUAAUGACGGUACCCGGAGAAGAAGCCCCGGCUAACUUCGUGACAGCAGCCGCCGUAA